GAUGAACGCUGGCGGCGUGCCUAAUACAGGCAAGUCGAGCGAACGGACGAGAAGCUUGCUUCUCUGAUGUUAGCGGCGGACGGGUGAGUAACACGUGGAUAACCUACCUAUAAGACUGGGAUAACUUCGGGAAACCGGAGCUAAUACCGGAUAAUAUUUUGAACCGCAUGGUUCAAAAGUGAAAGACGGUCUUGCUGUCACUUAUAGAUGGAUCCGCGCUGCAUUAGCUAGUUGGUAAGGUAACGGCUUACCAAGGCAACGAUGCAUAGCCGACCUGAGAGGGUGAUAGGCCACCCUGGAACGUGAACAGCGACCAGGCUCCUGCGGGAGGCAGCAGUAGGGAAUCUUCCGCAAUGGGCGAAAGCCUGACGGAGCAACCCCGCGUGAGUGACGGAGGUCUUCGGAGCGUAAAACUCUGUUAUUAGGGAAGAACAUAUGUGUAAGUAACUGUGCACAGCUUGACGGUACCUAAUCAGAAAGCCCCGGCUAACUACGUG
rnacentral:rRNA from 1 species